AUUGAACGCUGGCGGCAUGCCUAACACAUGCAAGUCGAACGGCAACACGCUAAGGGCUUUCUCCUACUGGUGGCGGGGGGCGGAAGGGUGAGGAAUGUAUCCCAAGCUUCUUUAUCGCGGAUCAUAACGUGUGCUAACAUCCCAUACUAUCUCAUACAUCAAACGGGGGACCUCACUGGAGCUUCUGGCCUUUCGCGUUUGAAAUAGCCGAUGUCGGAUUAGCUAGUUGGUGGGGUAAAGGCCCACCAAGCCGACGAUCCGUAGCUGGUCUGAGAGGAUGAUCAGCCACACUGGAACUGAGACACGGUCCAGACUCCUACGGGAGGCAGCAGUGGGGAAUAUUGGACAAUGGGCGCAAGCCUGAUCCAGCAAUGCCGCGUGGGUGAAGAAGGCCUUCGGGUCGUAAACCGCUGUUGUUCGGAAAGAAAAGAAGCUGGUUAAUCCCUGGGGGUGUUGACGGUACCGUAAGAAUAAGCACCGGCUAACUACGUG
rnacentral:rRNA from 1 species